rnacentral:rRNA from 1 species
GUGAGGAAUAUUGGUCAAUGGGCGAGAGCCUGAACCAGCCAUGCCGCGUGCAGGAAGAAUGCCCUAUGGAUUGUAAACUGCUUUUAUUUGGGAAUAAACCUCCUUACGUGUAGGGAGCUGAAGGUACCAAAUGAAUAAGCACCGGCUAACUCCGUGCCAGCAGCCGCGGUAAUACGGAGGGUGCAAACGUUAUCCGGAAUCAUUGGGUUAAAAGGGUCCGCAGGCGGUCAUAUAAGUAAGUGGUGAAAGCCUACAGCUCAACUGUAGAACUGCCAUUGAUACUGUAUGACUUGAAUUCGAUCGAAGUGGGCGGAAUGUGACAUGUAGCGGUGAAAUGCUUAGAUAUGUCACAGAACACCGAUAGCGAAGGCAGCUCACUAGGUCUGGAUUGACGCUCAGGGACGAAAGCGUGGGGAGCAAACAGGAUUAGAAACCCUGGUAGUCC